rnacentral:rRNA from 1 species
GACGUAGGGGGCCAGCGUUGUUCGGAAUUACUGGGCGUAAAGGGUUCGUAGGCGGUUCGGCAAGUCGGGUGUGAAAUCUCUGGGCUCAACCCAGAGGCUGCUUCCGAAACUGCUGUGCUUGAGUGUGGGAGAGGCGCGUGGAAUUGCAGGUGUAGCGGUGAAAUGCGUAGAUAUCUGCAGGAACACCCGUGGCGAAAGCGGCGCGCUGGACCACUACUGACGCUGAAGAACGAAAGCUAGGGGAGCAAACAGG